rnacentral:rRNA from 1 species
AUUGAACGCUGGCGGAAUGCUUUACACAUGCAAGUCGAACGGCAGCACGGGGCAACCUGGUGGCGAGUGGCGAACGGGUGAGUAAUAUAUCGGAACGUGCCCAAUCGUGGGGGAUAACGUAGCGAAAGUUACGCUAAUACCGCAUACGAUCUACGGAUGAAAACGGGGGAUCGCAAGACCUCGCGCGAAUGGAGCGGCCGAUAUCAGAUUAGGUAGUUGGUGGGGUAAAGGCUCACCAAGCCAACGAUCUGUAGCUGGUCUGAGAGGACGACCAGCCACACUGGGACUGAGACACGGCCCAGACUCCUACGGGAGGCAGCAGUGGGGAAUUUUGGACAAUGGGCGAAAGCCUGAUCCAGCCAUUCCGCGUGCAGGAUG